GAUGAACGCUGGCGACGUGCCUAAUACAUGCGAGUCGAGCGAACAGACGAGGAGCUUGCUCCUCUGACGUUAGCGGCGGACGGGUGAGUAACACGUGGAUAACCUACCUAUAAGACUGGGAUAACUUCGGGAAACCGGAGCUAAUACCGGAUAAUAUAUUGAACCGCAUGGUUCAAUAGUGAAAGACGGUUUUGCUGUCACUUAUAGAUGGAUCCGCGCCGCAUUAGCUAGUUGGUAAGGUAACGGCUUACCAAGGCAACGAUGCGUAGCCGACCUGAGAGGGUGAUCGGCCACACUGGAACUGAGACACGGUCCAGACUCCUACGGGAGGCAGCAGUAGGGAAUCUUCCGCAAUGGGCGAAAGCCUGACGGAGCAACGCCGCGUGAGUGAUGAAGGUCUUCGGAUCGUAAAACUCUGUUAUUAGGGAAGAACAAAUGUGUAAGUAACUAUGCACGUCUUGACGGUACCUAAUCAGAAAGCCACGGCUAACUACGUG
rnacentral:rRNA from 1 species